rnacentral:lncRNA from 1 species
AUUCUCUACAGAAGAAGGAUUGGAUUUUUCCAGGGUGCCGAUACUGAAAAGAAACCCGACUGCACUCUCUUCUUAUUUCCCACUCUUCUAUUUCUAAGUCCCAGACAGCUUUUGCUUGGUUGAACUCAGGAAGGUCUCUGUGCCCAGCAAAGUUGGAAGGCUGCGCCUGCACCAAGAAGCCUCUAGAUUGCUGAAAAGAGCCUCAUCAAAGGAUAAAACAUAUCCGUAUCACUGGCUGGGUGUAAUGCAAGGAAGGGACAAAGAUGAAAUGGAAACAUGCUCCUUUUUUGGUCAUAAUAUCACUCCUCAGCUUGUCCAAAAGCCACCUGUUCCUGGCACAGCUUAUUCCAGAAAAAUAAUAAGUGACACCAGGAAGAAAAUAUGGAUAUUGGCCAUGUAUGAAUAGACGAUAUACAGUUUUUCAGCUUCCACUGGAUAAAAUGGAAUACCAUCUUCAUUUUAGAGGACCCUGGUAAGAUAAGCAUUUCACUGUUGUAUUUUCUUUUUAAAACACUCCUAAAUGACUGAGUUUAUAUCACCGUCUUUAAAAAUGUUCCGUGAUAAAACAACUAUGUCCCAAAUGUAAGUGCAGUAUCCUUUCCAGGGUUUUGUGCCAUUUAAUGUCAAUAGUAAUUUACGUCAAGAUUAAAAAGUUUCCCUUCUAUGAUGUUUUGCGUUAUAGGACUUGCAGAUUAUUGUCAAUCUGUUUAACCAAAUAAUUUUGGUUUGCAAAAUUCAAAAAACCCAGAUCUGGCAAAUAUAUUUAGUAGAUUAGUUUUAUUAGUAAAACAGAUGAACUUAAAAAGUAAAGCAAACUAUAAUUUCUUCUGCUUUUCUAUUUGCUUAACCUAUUUUUUUUCAAAUAUAUAGUUAAGUUCUGCUGUGAGAUACAUAGUACCAUAUGAUUUGAUUUAAGUUAGAGUGGGUAGCAUUAUGAUCUAAAAUGAACAAACUAACAUGAUUAAAUUGUUUCUGAUCAACUUGCAAAAGAGAAAAUAUUUUCCUGUUGUUCAAUGUUAUUCAAUCCAUUUUGUUGUUCAAAAUAUAUUCAGGUGUUCCCUUGUGACGCAGUAGGUUAAGAAUCCAGUGUUGUCACCACAACAAUAGGGUUGUUGCUGUGAUGCGGGUUCAAUCCCUGGCCUGGGAACUUCCACAUCACAUAGAUGUCGCCAAAAAAUAAGAGUAAAUUUAGAGCCAAAUAAUGCUCUGUAGACUUCAAGAGGAGGACCCUCGGGUUUGUGUUUACUUAAAUGGAAUAGGAAACAAGUGUUCAAGUCAAGUAGUUCUAUGAGAGUUCUUCCUUGUGAGAGCUUUUUCUCUCUGUUCUUGUAUCUUCUCAUUUUAUUCAGUCUAGCAUUAUGCAGAAUUUGGAGGAAAUUUUUCCACUUCAGCAAGAAUUCCAAGAUGCUUCCAUAUCAAAGCAGCCCUGUGAUGUUUUCUGCUAAAAAUGUUACAACAAAUUUCCUGUUGCUAUUGUUUGAUGAUGAGUGUAUUGUGACAUGCAGUGCCUUAUGUGGCUGUUAAGGGAAGCAAAUUUUCAAUGAACUUGCCCAGCCUUUUGGGACUCCUCAGCUGAUAUCACAUAGGCUGAAGAGAGCAGGGAGCCAGCUUUCACUCUUAUGAGUAUGAUUUGAUCUUGGAGGUUUCUUUCUUUUUUUGCUCUAUUAUAUCAUAUAGUCUUUGCUAAAAAAUUCUUUCCAAAUUUAUUCUCUAAGACUUAUCCCUAAAGAAAAGACGCAGAUUUGAGCAGAUGUGUGUCUGCGAGCCUACAUUUUAUCCUUCUCAAAUAUUCAUUUUAGGAUCAUCAUUUAAUAACUAUUAUUAGCAUUUAUUGACUUGCUUACCAUGAAUUCCAGGAGGCAUUUUACAAAUAUUUUCACAUUUAAUUUUCAAAAUUCUUCUGUGUACUAAGUAUGAGCUUCUCAAUUUUGCAUUUGAAGAAACUGAAGUCAAACAAUAUGUCAUUUGCCAAGAUGACAUGGAGAAAGACAUUGAGUAGUGAGAUGGAGUUGGUUCUCUCUGAUUUCUGAGACUGCUUCAUUCCCCUGCACUUUUAUGCUUCUCCAGGUUGCCCCUUCUUGCUGGUGGAGGUAAGAUGCAUAUACAAUGCUUUUCUCCUCCACUAAUAGUGAUUUUAAGCCAAUGUCUUCAUAGGCUGGACUUGAGGACCUGAAAGUAAAAAUUUUCAGUCCUUUCUAGCAGGUAUUUUUUGGAUUUGAUGCCAACACCAUUUCUCCAUUUCUAUAGGAAUUGGGUUUUUAUGAUAGUAGAUGUGACUUUACAUAUAUUGCAUGUUUUCCUCAACAAAACAUAAAAGAUAUUAUUUUCCAUUCAAACAACUCUUUUUAUAUUAAAUUCAUUUUUAUUAGGAAAUAGUUGAUUUACAGUCUUGAAUAUUUCUGCUAUACAACAUAGUGACCCAGUCAUAUAUAUACACACAUUCUUUUCUCAUAUUAUCUUCCAUCAUGUUCUAUUCCCAAGAAACUGGAUAUAGUUCCCCGUGCUAUAGAGUAGGAUCUCAUUGCUUAUUCAUUCAAAAUGUGUGCAUCUACCAACCCCAAACUCCCCAUCCGUCCCACUUCUUCCUCCCUCCCCUUGGCAACCACAACUCUGUUCUCUAUGUCUGUGAGUCUGUUUCUGUUUUGUAGAUAGGCUCAUUUGUGCCAUAGUUUAGAUUCCACAUGUAAGUGAUAUCAUCUGGUAUCUGUCUUUCUAUUUCUGAUUUACUUAGUAUGAGAAUCUCUAGUUUCAUCCAUAUUGCUACAAAAAGUAUUUUUUUUUAUGGCUUAGUAGUAUUCUGUUGUGUAUAAAUACCUCAUCUUCUUAAUCCAUUCAUCUGCUGAUGGACAUUUAGGUUGUUUCCAUGUCUAGGCUAUUGUGAAUAGUGCUGCAGUGAACAUAGGAGUGCAUGUAUUUUUUUGAAUCCCACUCCCGGGCAAAGGUCCUGACAAAUAAUUUUUUAAACAUUUGAUUGAAGUAUAAUUGAUUUAAAAUGUGGUGAUUUCUGCUGUAAGCAAAGUGAUUCAGGUAUAAAUAUACACAUAUCCAUUCUUUUAAAAUUAUUUUCCCAUUUAGGUUAUCAUAGAAUAUUGAGUCGAGUUCCCUGUGCUGUAUAGCAGGUCUCCACUGCCCAUCCAUUUGAUAUACAAUGUUAUGCCUAUGCCAAUCCCAAACUCCCUAUUCAUCCCUAUCCCCCAUCUUUCCUCUUUGGUAACAAAGUUUGUUUUUUAAGUCUAUAAGUCUGCUUCUAUUUUGUAAAUAAGUUCAUUUGUAUCAUUUUUAGAUGAGUUACUUUGGAUUAUCAUUCAUAAAGAAGUAUUACAGAGCAUAAAUAAAUUCAUAUGCACCUAAUGAUUCUUUUGAGCAACUUCAAUUGAAAUUCAUGUGCUAGUAUUUUACUUGAAAACUCCUUUUUCACUGUUACUAAAAGUUUAUUUAAAAACCUGAAGGAAAUUUCCACUGGCUACUGAUAUGAAUCAUAUCCCAUUGUCUAUGCUUGCAAUUAGAAAUAUUAUCAAGGUGUUAUUUUUCUAUGCACAAACUGAUAUCACUUGAUAGGAGUUCCCCAUUGCAGCUCAGUGGGGUUAAGAAUCCAGCAUAGGAGUUCCCGUCGUGGCGCAGUGGUUAAUGAAUCCGACUAGGAACCAUGAGGUUGCAGGUUCGAUCCCUGCCCUUGCUCAGUGGGUUAAGGACCCGGCGUUGCCGUGAGCUGUGGUGUAGGUUGCAGACGCGGCUCGGAUCCCGCGUUGCUGUGGCUCUGGUGUAGGCCGGUGGCUACAGCUCCGAUUCAACCCCUAGCCUGGGAACCUCCAUAUGCCGCGGGAGCGGCCCAAGAAAUAGCAACAACAAC